rnacentral:rRNA from 1 species
AUUGAACGCUGGCGGCAGGCCUAACACAUGCAAGUCGAACGAGUGGCGGACGGGUGAGUAAUGUCUGGGAAAUUGCCCGAUGGAGGGGGAUAACUACUGGAAACGGUAGCUAAUACCGCAUACCAUCGGAUGUGCCCAGAUGGGACUAGCUAGUAGGUGGGGUAACGGCUCACCUAGGCGACGAUCCCUAGCUGGUCUGAGAGGAUGACCAGCCACACUGUAACUGAGACACGGUCCAGAUGCCUACGGGAGGCAGCAGUAGGGAAUAUUGCACAAUGGGCGCAAGCCUGAUGCAGCCAUGCCGCGUGGAUGAAGAAGGCCUUCGGGUUGUAAAGUACUUUCAGCGAGGAGGCGUUACUCACAGAAGAAGCGCCGGCUAGCUCCGUGCCAGCAGCCGCGGUAAUUC